UGUAAAUGGUUAUUACUCUACAUUUUAUGGA
rnacentral:piRNA from 1 species